AGCAGCCGCGGUAAUUCCAGCUCCAAUAGCGUAUAUUAAAGUUGUUGCAGUUAAAAAGCUCGUAGUUGAAUUUCGGGGUUAGUAGGUUGGUCGUGCCACCGGUAUGUACUGGCUCUACUGAUCCCUCCUUCUUGUAGAACCGUAAUGCCAUUAACUUGGUGUUGCGGGGAAACAGGACUGUUACUUUGAAAAAAUUAGAGUGUUUAAAGCAGGCUAACGCUUGAAUACAUUAGCAUGGAAUAAUGAAAUAGGACGCUCGAUCCUAUUUUGUUGGUUUCUAGGAUUGACGUAAUGAUUAAUAGGGAUAGUUGGGGGCAUUAGUAUUCAAUUGUCAGAGGUGAAAUUCUUGGAUUUAUUGAAGACUAACUACUGCGAAAGCAUUUGCCAAGGAUGUUUUCAUUAAUCAAGAACGAAAGUUAGGGGAUCGAAGACGAUCAGAUACCGUCGUAGUCUUAACCAUAAACUAUGCCGACUAGGGAUCGGAUGAUGUUAAUUUUUAAUGACUCAUUCGGCGCCUUAC
rnacentral:rRNA from 1 species